UACGUAGGGCGCAAGCGUUAUCCGGAAUUAUUGGGCGUAAAGGGCUCGUAGGCGGUUGGUCACGUCGGGAGUGAAAACUCAGGGCUCAACCCUGAGCGUGCUUCCGAUACGGGCCGACUAGAGGUAUGCAGGGGAGAACGGAAUUCCUGGUGUAGCGGUGGAAUGCGCAGAUAUCAGGAGGAACACCGGUGGCGAAGGCGGUUCUCUGGGCAUUACCUGACGCUGAGGAGCGAAAGCAUGGGGAGCGAACAGG
rnacentral:rRNA from 1 species